GUCUUGGUACUACAUGUACAGGAUAGGUGGGAGGCUUUGAAACCAGGACGCCAGUUUUGGCGGAGCCAUCCUUGGGAUACCACCCUUGUAGUACUGGGACUCUAACCAUAGGCCAUGAAUCUGGUCUGGGGACACUGUCAGGUGGGCAGGUUGACUGGGGCGGUCGCCUCCCAAAAGGUAACGGAGGCGCUCAAAGGUUCUCUCAGUACGGUCGGAAAUCGUACGUAGAGUGUAAAGGCAAAAGAGAGCUUGAUU
rnacentral:rRNA from 1 species